GGUAGUGACAAUAAAUCACAAUGCGGAACUAUUAGUUUUGCAAUUGGAUUGAGAACAAUGUACAAAUGUUAUCGAUAAACAAUUGGAGGGCAAGUCUGGUGCCAGCAGCCGCGGUAAUUCCAGCUCCAAUAGCGUAUAUUAACGUUGUUGCAGUUAAAAAGCUCGUAGUUGAAUUGAAGUGAACUUGGGUUGAUGUGAUCUUCGGAUGACAUGAAUCAAAGUUGACUCUUUCCAAAGUCAAUACAUUGGUAUUCAUUUAUCUUUGUAUUGUGUUUGGUCAUUUACUGUGAGAAAAUUAGAGUGUUCAAAGCAGACGUUUGUUUGAAUACAUUAGCAUGGAAUAAUCAUAUAUGGCUUUCAUGUUGAUUUGAUUGGUCCGAAUAUGGCAGCACGAUUAAAAGGGACA
rnacentral:rRNA from 1 species